UUGCCCAGUAGUCCACGCCGUAAACGAUGAGUACUAGGUGUAGGGGGUAUCGACUCCCUCUGUGCCGCAGUUAACACAAUAAGUACUCCGCCUGGGAAGUACGAUCGCAAGAUUAAAACUCAAAGGAAUUGACGGGGGCCCGCACAAGCAGCGGAGCAUGUGGUUUAAUUCGAAGCAACGCGAAGAACCUUACCUGGACUUGACAUCCCCUGCAUAGCCAAGAGAUUGGUGAAGCCCUUCGGGGCAGGGAGACAGGUGGUGCACGGCCGUCGCCAGCU
rnacentral:rRNA from 1 species